GAUGAACGCUGGCGGCGUGCCUAAUACAUGCAAGUCGAGCGAAUGGAUUAAGAGCUUGCUCUUAUGAAGUUAGCGGCGGGCGGGUGAGUAACACGUGGGUAACCUGCCCAUAAGACUGGGAUAACUCCGGGAAACCGGGGCUAAUACCGGAUAACAUUUUGAACCGCAUGGUUCGAAAUUGAAAGGCGGCUUCGGCUGUUACUUACUGAUGGAUCCGCGUCGCAUUAGCCAGUUGGUGAGGUAACGGCUAACCAAGGCAACGAUGCGUAGCCGACCUGAGAGGGUGAUCGGCCACACUGGGACUGAGACACGGCCCAGACUCCUACGGGAGGCAGCAGUAGGGAAUCUUCCGCAAUGGACGAAAGUCUGACGGAGCAACGCCGCGUGAGUGAUGAAGGCUUUCGGGUCGUAAAACUCUGUUGUUAGGGAAGAACAAGUGCUAGUUGAAUAAGCUGGCACCUUGACGGUACCUAACCAGAAAGCCACGGCUAACUACGUGCCAGCCGCCGCCGUAA
rnacentral:rRNA from 1 species